rnacentral:rRNA from 1 species
UUGGCUCUCGCAUCGAUGAAGAACGCAGCGAAAUGCGAUAAGUAAUGUGAAUUGCAGAAUUCAGUGAAUCAUCGAAUCUUUGAACGCACCUUGCGCUCCUUGGUAUUCCGAGGAGCAUGCCUGUUUGAGUGUCAUUAAAUUCUCAACCUUUAUCAGC